rnacentral:misc_RNA from 1 species
GAUGAAGAACGUAGCGAAAUGCGAUACGUAAUGUGAAUUGCAGAAUUCAGUGAAUCAUCGAGUCUUUGAACGCACAUUGCGCCCCCUGGUAUUCCGGGGGGCAUGCCUGUCCGAGCGUCAUUGCUGCCCUCAAGCACGGCUUGUGUGUUGGGCCUCCGUCCUCCUCCCGGGGGACGGGCCCGAAAGGCAGCGGCGGCACCGCGUCCGGUCCUCGAGCGUAUGGGGCUUCGUCACCCGCUCUUGUAGGCCCGGCCGGCGCCCGCCGGCGACCCCCCUCAAUCUUUUCAGGUUGACCUCGGAUCAGGUAGGGAUACCCGCUGAACUUAAGCAUAUCAAUAAGCGGAGGA